CGCAGGAAAAAAAAUAGCCAGCAAAUCACCUUCUAAAAUGGCAACGAUGGCGAUCUCCGGCGAGGUUACCGGAACGGUCGAGCGCCCCGAGCCAGGGUACGGUCAGCUACUCGCUCAUUGGACAAUCAAUGAUCAGGCAACGCCCAAAAGAGAAGCGAUCACAGAUGACGAAAGCAUGUGACGUCAGCUACAAAAAACUAUAAAAGGUUCGAUGUCCGAACCUUGAUUUUCAUGCAGUCUCAGCAAAGACCAACCAGAGUUCAUCAGUCAAGGAGAACUUAUAUCCUAACCACUGCCUAUACAAGUGGUUAGGCGUUCGAGUUUCUUAUCGUGAUUGUAUAUUGCAUCAGUAUCGCCCUUGCGUUAAUAACCGUGGUAAUAAAUAAUCAACAA